rnacentral:rRNA from 1 species
UACGUAGGGGCCUAGCGUUGUCCGGAAUUAUUGGGCGUAAAGAGCUCGUAGGCGGUUCGGCAAGUCGGAUGUGAAAUCUCCACGCUUAACGUGGAGGGGCCAUUCGAAACUGCUGUGACUCGAGUCCGGUAGGGGAGUGUGGAAUUCCCGGUGUAGCGGUGAAAUUCGUAGAUAUUAGGAAGAACACCAGUGGCGAAGGCGGCUCACUGGCCCGGUACUGACGCUGAGGCGCGAAAGCGUGGGGAGCAAACAGGG